rnacentral:lncRNA from 1 species
AAAGUAAAGGUGCAACAUCAGCAGUGCACUGACAUCAGAAAAGACUUGAAUGAUGAUUUUCUUGAGUCCAAAAGGCUUAGUAAGAAUACUUGAAACGAAUAUACUUCAGAAGGAUUUUAAAAGGCAGAAGUGUCAUGCAUCUAAAAUCACCCUGGUUGCAAUAUGGGAAGGAAAGGUUGGAGGGGGCUAGGCUGGAGACCAUGAAAAGGGAGGAAGGAGGCUGUCUCAGUAAUCUAGGUGAGAGAAGAGUAGAGGAAGGAGCCAAUCAUAAUUCCCAGACCACUAACUUGGCUGGUAGGAUGCAUGACACUCCCUGCAAAAGUUGAGAAAAGAUGAUGAUCUUAGUGUUGACGUUUAGGCCCCUGUGGGUUAGGUAAGUAGAAAUAAACGGUGGGCCAGUAGACACAGAUCUCUAGCUCAGAACUAACUUCAUAGUGCCUGCCCAAUAGGCACCAGCUCCAUGAUCAAAGUUAUAUCUAGGCUGGAAAAGUAUCGGGAAUGUUUUACAGGACAGUGACACUGAUACUCAGGAGUAAUAAUGAUGUCAAAAACAAAAUAGCACUUGUUUUGAUUUAGUUUGUUAAUUAACAGAGUCUUAAGUGUGUUGGAUGAGUGAACUCAGUUAAUCUGCUGAAUUUAUGAAUUUGAAACUAUUACCAUUCCAAGUUGAGAAGUAGCUUGAGCAAGUCCAUUCUGUUCAUAAACAGUGGAGUUAGGGUUUCACCGCAGUCAGACCCCAAACUCCACGAUAUUAGGUCACACAGGUCAAUCAGCCAUGAAGUGGGAGACAGGGGCUGUCAAUUCAUUAGGUAAGUUACUGCUAGCAAGCUCUAGAGCCAGAGGCGUUUAUUUUUAUUCAUGGAGGAAUUUAUCAUCAUGGGGAUGCUAAGGCAUGAUUGAUGGAAAGUCGGACACAUGACUGAUGAGAAACAGUCUUGAGCACAGGGCCUGGAGCCUCGCUUGGGCGAACCAUGGAGAGAGGGCGGCCUCCAUCUUCCUAGAGCGGCCGCCGCGGGUCGUGCUUCCGUCUUGGCGGAUUCGGCGCUCUGCGGGAGCUUGCGGUGAGCGGCUCUGGUUGCGCAACCUGGUGACGGUCCUGAAGGUUGCGUGUUUGGGUCUCGCAGACGCCCCGCGAGAGGCCCAUGAGGCCGCCCAAACCCUGGCCAGCCCCUGUUGUCGAGGCACGACUGACCUUCCUGCCCCGAGAGCUUGUCCUCUGGCUCGAGCUCUGCAGGUUUUCCAAGACUAG